CCUACGGGUGGCAGCAGUGGGGAAUAUUGGGCAAUGGGCGCAAGCCUGACCCAGCAACGCCGCGUGAAGGAAGAAGGCUUUCGGGUUGUAAACUUCUUUUCUCAGGGACGAAGCAAGUGACGGUACCUGAGGAAUAAGCCACGGCUAACUACGUGCCAGCAGCCGCGGUAAUACGUAGGUGGCAAGCGUUAUCCGGAUUUAUUGGGUGUAAAGGGCGUGUAGGCGGGGACGCAAGUCAGAUGUGAAAACCACGGGCUCAACCUGUGGCCUGCAUUUGAAACUGUGUUGCUUGAGUACUGGAGAGGCAGAAGGAAGUCCGAGUGUAGGGGUGAAAGGCGGAGAUAUUAGGAGGAACAGCAGGGGCGAAGGCGGUCUGCUGGACAGCAACUGAAGCUGAGGCGCGAAAGCGUGGGGAGCAAACAGGAUUAGAGACCCUGGGAGUC
rnacentral:rRNA from 1 species